UACGGGGGGGGCAAGCGUUGUUCGGAAUUACUGGGCGUAAAGGGCUCGUAGGUGGCCAACUAAGUCGGACGUGAAAUCCCUCGGCUUAACCGGGGAACUGCGUCUGAUACUGGAUGGCUUGAGUGUGGGAGAGGGAUGCGGAAUUCCAGGUGUAGCGGUGAAAUGCGUAGAUAUCUGGAGGAACACCGGUGGCGAAGGCGGCAUCCUGGACCAUUACUGACACUGAAUAGCGAAAGCCAGGGGAGCAAACGGG
rnacentral:rRNA from 1 species